rnacentral:rRNA from 1 species
GCGACGACGGGUAGCCGGCCUGAGAGGGUGUCCGGCCACACUGGGACUGAGAUACGGCCCAGACUCCUACGGGAGGCAGCAGUGGGGAAUAUUGCACAAUGGGCGCAAGCCUGAUGCAGCGACGCCGCGUGGGGGAUGACGGCCUUCGGGUUGUAAACCUCUUUCACCAUCGGCGAAGCCUUCAAGUGUUCUUGGGGGUGACGGUAGGUGGAGAAGAAGCACCGGCCAACUACGUGCCAGCAGCCGCGGUAAUACGUAGGGUGCGAGCGUUGUCCGGAAUUACUGGGCGUAAAGAGCUCGUAGGUGGUUUGUCGCGUUGUUCGUGAAAUUCCCUGGCUUAACUGGGGGCGUGCGGGCGAUACGGGCAGACUGGAGUACUGCAGGGGAGACUGGAAUUCCUGGUGUAGCGGUGGAAUGCGCAGAUAUCAGGAGGAACACCGGUGGCGAAGGCGGGUCUCCGGGCAGUAACUGACGCUGAGGAGCGAAAGCGUGGGGAGCGAACAGGAUUAGAUACCCUGGUAGUCCACGCCGUAAACGGUGGGUACUAGGUGUGGGUUUCCUUCCUUGGGAUCCGUGCCGUAGCUAACGCAUUAAGUACCCCGCCUGGGGAGUACGGCCGCAAGGCUAAAACUCAAAGGAAUGACGAAGGCG